rnacentral:rRNA from 1 species
AGUGAACGCUGGCGGUAGGCCUAACACAUGCAAGUCGAACGGCAGCACAGUAAGAGCUUGCUCUUACGGGUGGCGAGUGGCGGACGGGUGACGAAUACAUCGGAAUCUACUUUUUCGUGGGGGAUAACGUAGGGAAACUUACGCUAAUACCGCAUACGACCUACGGGUGAAAGCAGGGGAUCUUCGGACCUUGCGCGAUUGAAUGAGCCGAUGUCGGAUUAGCUAGUUGGCGGGGUAAAGGCCCACCAAGGCGACGAUCCGUAGCUGGUCUGAGAGGAUGAUCAGCCACACUGGAACUGAGACACGGUCCAGACUCCUACGGGAGGCAGCAGUGGGGAAUAUUGGACAAUGGGCGCAAGCCUGAUCCAGCCAUACCGCGUGGGUGAAGAAGGCCUUCGGGUUGUAAAGCCCUUUUGUUGGGAAAGAAAAGCAGCAGGUUAAUACCCCGCUGUUCUGACGGUACCCAAAGAAUAAGCACCGGCUAACUUCGUG